rnacentral:rRNA from 1 species
UACAGAGGUCUCAAGCGUUGUUCGGAUUCACUGGGCGUAAAGGGUGCGUAGGUGGUCGGGUAAGUCUGAUGUGAAAUCUCCGAGCUCAACUCGGAAAUGGCAUUGGAUACUACUUGGCUAGAGGGUUGGAGGGGGGACUGGAAUACUUGGUGUAGCAGUGAAAUGCGUAGAUAUCAAGUGGAACACCAGUGGCGAAGGCGAGUCCCUGGACAACUCCUGACACUGAGGCACGAAAGCUAGGGGAGCAAACAGG